ACUACUUCUUGGCCUUUUGGCUAAGAUCAAGUGUAAUAUCUGUUCUUAUCAGUUUAUAUAUAAGUAGGUUAUUUUAAUCUCU
rnacentral:snRNA from 1 species